rnacentral:rRNA from 1 species
UACGUAGGGGGCAAGCGUUAUCCGGAUUUACUGGGUGUAAAGGGAGCGUAGACGGAAUUGCAAGUCUGAUGUGAAAAUCCGGGGCCCAACCCCGGAACUGCAUUGGAAACUGUAUUUCUAGAGUGUCGGAGAGGCAAGUGGAAUUCCUGGUGUAGCGGUGAAAUGCAUAGAUAUCACGCAGAACCCCGAUUGCGAAGGCAGCAUACCGGCGCCCUACUGACGCUGAGGCACGAAAGUGCGGGUAUCGAACAGG